rnacentral:tRNA from 1 species
GCUGAGCAUGGAUUACCGGUUGUCGAGUUCUUCGGCUCACAGCUGACGCUGCCUCCAGAGGCGCGGUUCGGUUCGAUUGCCGCGGUGCAGCGC